rnacentral:rRNA from 1 species
CUACGUGCCAGCAGCCGCGGUAAUACGUAGGGUGCGAGCGUUAAUCGGAAUUACUGGGCGUAAAGCGAGCGCAGACGGUUACUUAAGCAGGAUGUGAAAUCCCCGGGCUCAACCUGGGAACUGCGUUCUGAACUGGGUGACUAGAGUGUGUCAGAGGGAGGUAGAAUUCCACGUGUAGCAGUGAAAUGCGUAGAGAUGUGGAGGAAUACCGAUGGCGAAGGCAGCCUCCUGGGAUAACACUGACGUUCAUGCUCGAAAGCGUGGGUAGCAAACAGGAUUAGAUACCCUGGUAGUCCACGCCCUAAACGAUGUCAAUUAGCUGUUGGGCAACUUGAUUGCUUAGUAGCGUAGCUAACGCGUGAAAUUGACCGCCUGGGGAAUACGGUCGCAAGAUUAAAACUCAAAGGAAUUGACGGGGACCCGCACAAGCGGUGGAUGAUGUGGAUUAAUUCGAUGCAACGCGAAGAACCUUACCUGGUCUUGACAU